rnacentral:rRNA from 1 species
GAUGAACGCUAGCUACAGGCUUAACACAUGCAAGUCGCGGGGCAGCAUGGGGGUUGCUUGCAAUCCCCGAUGGCGACCGGCGCAUGGGUGAGUAACGCGUAUCCAACCUGCCCUUCACCACGGGAUAACCCGGCGAAAGUCGGACUAAUACCGUAUGUUGUCCAUUGACGGCAUCCGAUUUGGACGAAAGGUUUGGCGGUGAAGGAUGGGGAUGCGUCCGAUUAGCUGGACGGCGGGGUGACGGCCCACCGUGGCGACGAUCGGUAGGGGUUCUGAGAGGAAGGUCCCCCACACUGGAACUGGGACACGGUCCAGACUCCUACGGGAGGCAGCAGUGAGGAAUAUUGGUCAAUGGGCGUAAGCCUGAACCAGCCAAGUAGCGUGCAGGAUGACGGCCCUAUGGGUUGUAAACUGCUUUUAUGCGGGGAUAAAGUGGCCCACGUGUGGGUUUUUGCAGGUACCGCAUGAAUAAGGACCGGCUAAUUCCGUG